AAUUGGGGGGAAAUCGCCUUUCACUCCUAUGAUGGCCGCAAGAAUCCGACCGAGCCUCGACGACGACACAAUUCUUCACCGCAUCAGCUUAGACCCUUUCAUCGACCCCCCCACCGCCUGUGGCAAUAUCGUCCGUGCCGGAGAUAACACCCUGCAUCGAAGAGCAAUCUCCGAGGAGGAACCAGAACCACGCGAACGUCAACUCAGAAGAUUGUUUUAGGGAUUUUCUGCUGAAGAGAUCUUAUUCGUUUGGGUUUGAACGGAGUGUCGCGUCGGAGAGGAUGGUGAUGGAAGCCACCACUGCGUCGCCAUGGCGAUACCGAAGAGGGAGCAAUAGUUUGAAGGGGGAAAAUUUUUAGAGAAAGGAGAGGGGAGAAAGAACACUCAUCAGUGACUACUGUUUUUUGGUUGAAAUUGCGACUUCUGCAAUGGAUUACAGCGAUUACAAGUAUAUAUAUUUAUAUUUCUCAGCCCUUUCCAAUUUUUGUUCUGUGUUUUUAUUUGGGACAUGAAAUGGAUUUUCAUGAGAUUUUGCUUC